CCUACGGGCGGCUGCAGUGGGGAAUAUUGGACAAUGGGGGGAACCCUGAUCCAGCCAUGCCGCGUGUGUGAAGAAGGCCCUCGGGUUGUAAAGCACUUUCAGUGAGGAAGAACGCCUGGUGGUUAAUACCCAUCAGGAAAGACAUCACUCACAGAAGAAGCACCGGCUAACUCCGUGCCAGCAGCCGCGGUAUACGGAGGGUGCGAGCGUUAAUCGGAAUUACUGGGCGUAAAGCGCGCGUAGGUGGCUUGAUAAGCCGGUUGUGAAAGCCCCGGGCUCAACCUGGGAACGGCAUCCGGAACUGUCAAGCUAGAGUGCAGGAGAGGAAGGUAGAAUUCCCGGUGUAGCGGUGAAAUGCGUAGAGAUCGGGAGGAAUACCAGUGGCGAAGGCGGCCUUCUGGACUGACACUGACACUGAGGUGCGAAAGCGUGGGUAGCAAACAGGAUUAGAUACCCCGGUAGUC
rnacentral:rRNA from 1 species